CACACAGAAGCUCUGAGGAUACCUAAAUGAGUCAAAACUUUCAACAACGGAUCUCUUGGUUCUGGCAUCGAUGAAGAACGCAGCGAAAUGCGAUACGUAAUGUGAAUUGCAGAACUCAGCGAAUCACCGAAUCUUUGAACGCACAUUGCGCCCGCCGGCAUUCCGGCGGGCACGCCUGUUCGAGCGUC
rnacentral:rRNA from 1 species